CGGUGAAUACGUUCCCGGGCCUUGUACACACCGCCCGUCACACCACGAGAGUUUGUAACACCCGAAGUCGGUGAGGUAACCUUUUAGGAGCCAGCCGCCGAAGGUGGGACAGAUGAUUGGGGUGAAGUCGUAACAAGGUAGCCGUAUCGGAAGGUGCGGCUGGAUCACCUCCUUUCUAAGGA
rnacentral:rRNA from 1 species